CACUCCAGAAGAGCGAACAACCCGCCUGCUUGUGUCGUAGCUGGGAAAGUAAUUCAUCAGCGUACUCCAGUGAGACUGAGUUUUUCCUCGGAGAACCUGCAAGACUGCUGUCUGUUUCAAUCUUUGGACUAGAUGGCUACGCAACGUAGUGACCCACGCGAUUGCUGUCUUUUAACAGCGAAUGGAAUGUGUCUUGUUGCCUACAAAGAAAGGCUUUUUUUUUAAACGUGCAACAACUGUACAGAGAUGGAAAGUAUAUGAAUGCAAGAAAAGUGAAGGCCAUAUCCAACUGGAGUUUGUAUGGCAUUCCAGAUCAAAGGAUCAUUUCCUCAUUGUGGAAGGAGAUGAGGUGAAGCUCAAGCCUGUCCUUAAUUUUAAAGGAAAAGAGGAUGAACGGCUGAAUACUAUUGGAUGUCAGUUUCAGUGGUCCAAUCUGAGAGGAAAUAAAGGGAGUUUACAGUGUGUGGCCGGAGGGAAUUACUUGGCAGUUGGGAAACAACGAAAGUUGAUCGCCAGCAAAGAAACACCAGUAGAGUUCCAGUUGAUUUAGAUGAUUCGUUAUAUUAAAAGACUAUCAGCCAAAAGAGCAUAUUUACUUUUAUAUAUCAUAUAAUGUGACAUUAUAUUUCACUUUCAACCAUGUAUACUUAAAUAUACUAAAUAUACUUUUACUAUGUAACUUCUGUGUCAUAUGAUGACUGAUAGUUGGCAUUCAAUUUCUGUAUGUAACCUGUUGUAUUCUUCUUUGUAUGCAUGAUAGUUGGUAAGAGUGCAUUUUGUGGAGUCCAUAAGACAUUCAGGUAGUGUAUGAGUGUCUGUCUCAAAUAAAUUGCAGUUUCAACUGUU